AAACACGAGUUCUAAGUAUCAAUACCAAGACGGAACUAUCAAAAUAAAUUUAGACAUGUUGUACUAGUCUAAAGAGUACAAUUAUGAAUUCCAACUAUGAACACCAAACGAACUAUCAAAUAAAUUGACAAGCAAUAAUUAUGAGAUGCAAUACUGAAUUUCGAAACGAAUAACGAAACGAAUAAAUCAAAAACAAAAGAGUCUCGCUGAAAGAG
rnacentral:lncRNA from 1 species